rnacentral:rRNA from 1 species
GACGAACGCUGGCGGCGUGCUUAACACAUGCAAGUCGAACGCUGAAGCGUGGUGCUUGCACUGGGUGGAUGAGUGGCGAACGGGUGGGUAAUACGUGAGUAACCUGCCCUUGACUCUGGGAUAAGCCUGGGAAACUGGGGCUAAUACUGGAUAUGACAUGCCACUGCAUGGUGGUGUGUGGAAAGGGGUUUACUGGUUUUGGAUGGGCUCACGGCCUAUCAGCUUGUUGGUGGGGUAAUGGCCUACCAAGGCGACGACGGGUAGCCGGCCUGAGAGGGUGAACGGCCACCCUGGGCCUAAGAGACGGACCAGACUCCUACGGGCGGCAACAGUGGGGAAUAUUGCGCAAUGGGCGGAAGCCUGAUGCAGCGACGCCGGGUGAGGGAUGACGGCCUUCGGGUUAUAAACCUCUUUCAGAACGGAAGAAGCGAGAGUGACGGUACGUGCAGAAGAAGCGCCGGCUAACUACGUG